GACGAACGCUGGCGGCGUGCUUAACACAUGCAAGUCGAACGGUGAAGGGGUCUGCUUUUGUGGGCCCUGGAUGAGUGGCGAACGGGUGAGUAACACGUGAGUAACCUGCCCCCUUCUUCUGGAUAACCGCAUGAAAGUGUGGCUAAUACGGGAUAUUCUGGGUCUGUCGCAUGAUGGGUCUGGGAAAGAUUGCGCCUUUGGGUGUUUUUGGUGGGGGAUGGGCUCGCGGCCUAUCAGCUUGUUGGUGGGGUGAUGGCCUACCAAGGCGGUGACGGGUAGCCGGCCUGAGAGGGUGGACGGUCACACUGGGACUGAGACACGGCCCAGACUCCUACGGGAGGCAGCAGUGGGGAAUAUUGCACAAUGGGCGCAAGCCUGAUGCAGCGACGCCGCGUGAGGGAUGGAGGCCUUCGGGUUGUAAACCUCUUUCGCCAGUGAAGCAGGCCUGCUCCUUGUGGGUGGGUUGACGGUAGCUGGAGAAGAAGCGCCGGCUAACUACGCG
rnacentral:rRNA from 1 species